UAGCGUAUAUUAAAGUUGUUGCGGUUAAAAAGCUCGUAGUUGGAUUUCUGUUGAAGACAGCCGGUCCGCACUAUGUGCGUGUAUCUGGUUUGGCUUCGGCAUCCUCUCAAAAUACGUUUCUGUGCUUGAUUGCAUGGAACGGAGUUUGGGACUUUUACUUUGAGGAAAUUAGAGUGUUCACGGCAGGCAAUCGCCCUGAAUAUAUUAGCAUGGAAUAAUAAUAUAGGAUCUUGGUUCUAUUUUGUUGGUUUCUAGAGCUAAGAUAAUGAUUAAUAGGGACAAUUGGGGGCAUUCGUAUUAACGCGUC
rnacentral:rRNA from 1 species